rnacentral:lncRNA from 1 species
CUGAGGGGGGCGUGCUUCACAAUGCAGGAAUGAGGAGAGAGUGUCAUCUUCAGACCUAGUGAGUAGGGCACCUGCCCUCCAAGACUAGAGCUGUCAUCACUCCUGUGUGUGUGUGUGUCGAGAUGGAAGGCAAUUGUGUGUGCAGUUACUGCCAUCCCUAUUCCAGAGGAGAGAAAGACUAUUGAGAUUCUACGGCUCCCACGUCCACAGAGAUGUGCUGAGUCUCAAGGAAGGCUGCCCACUCCCACAAAACCACUGGCUCAGAGGGUCUGGAGGAUCAAAGUCAUCUUAUGUGGUUAAAGUCAUCUAUGAAGGAAGACAUAUCAACUGCUACUCUAGAAAACUGAAAAGAAAACACAAAUAAAAUUGGGCCUUUGCAGAUUGCUAGUAUUUCCACUUAAAGACAAGCAUAUAUAAAUAGC